rnacentral:tRNA from 1 species
GGGUGAUUAGCUCAGCUGGGAGAGCACCUCCCUUACAAGGAGGGGGUCGGCGGUUCGAUUCCUGCACGACCCACCA